UGGGGAAUAUUGGACAAUGGGCGAAAGCCUGAUCCAGCCAUGCCGCGUGUGUGAAGAAGGUCUUCGGAUUGUAAAGCACUUUAAGUUGGGAGGAAGGGCAGUAAGCGAAUACCUUGCUGUUUUGACGUUACCGACAGAAUAAGCACCGGCUAACUCUGUGCCAGCAGCCGCGGUAAUACAGAGGGUGCAAGCGUUAAUCGGAAUUACUGGGCGUAAAGCGCGCGUAGGUGGUUCGUUAAGUUGAAUGUGAAAGCCCCGGGCUCAACCUGGGAACGGCAUCCAAAACUGGCGAGCUAGAGGAGGGCAGAGGAUAGUGGAAUUUCCUGUGUAGCGGUGAAAUGCGUAGAUAUAGGAAGGAACACCAGUGGCGAAGGCGACAACCUGGGCUCAUACUGACACUGAGGUGCGAAAGCGUGGGGAGCAAACAGG
rnacentral:rRNA from 1 species